UACGUAGGGGGCUAGCGUUGCUCGGAAUGACUGGGCGUAAAGGGCGCGUAGGCGGUUUGUACAGUCAGGUGUGAAAUUCCCGGGCUCAACCUGGGGGCUGCACUUGAUACGUAUGAACUGGAGUGGGGAAGAGGGUCGUGGAAUUCCCAGUGUAGAGGUGAAAUUCGUAGAUAUUGGGAAGAACACCGGUUGCGAAGGCGGCGACCUGGUCCUUGACUGACGCUGAGGCGCGAAAGCGUGGGGAUCAAACAGG
rnacentral:rRNA from 1 species